rnacentral:lncRNA from 1 species
AAAAAAGAAGAAGAAGCUGCUGCUCCCAUACUGCUGUUGCAGUUCUCCUUCAUCUCACCUUACCAUUAUUUCUUUUUUUAAAACUAUUUUGUCGUUUUCAGCCGUUGUCAUCGUCGGCUCUCCCUUUUCCAUUCUCCUUUUACCAUUUUAUGGGUCUCUCUUUCUUUUUUCCAUUUUACCCUUUCUUCCAGAGCCAUCUCCCGGAGUCUCUAGCAGCUGCGUCCGCUCC